ANUCCUACGGGAGGCAGCAGUGGGGAAUAUUGCACAAUGGGCGAAAGCCUGAUGCAGCAACGCCGCGUGAGUGAUGAAGUUCUUCGGAUUGUAAAGCUCUNUCAUUNGGNNUGAUAAUGACGGUACCNGAGGAAAAGCACGCUACUACA
rnacentral:rRNA from 1 species